AAGUCGUAACAAGGUUUCCGUAGGUCAACCUGCGGAAGGAUCAUUAACACGUAUCCACACGUUAAAACCCCCCCCGUGAACCUUCAUCUUGCUCUUGUAACCCGCGUAGUUCGCAAUCUCUGAUAAAUCAUAGCCCGGAAAGUUGUAGUGAUUCAGAGACCUCUGGCUACGUGCGAACAUUGGAACAGUUACAAUCGUCAUUGUCGGAAAGUGUCAUUGAUUGUGCAAGGAUAGCGCUUCUACGAUUCCUGUAGACCGUACACUCGAGCAGGAGCUUUGCCAAAGGGUCCCCAUGCCCCCUAACAACCCCACAGUUUAAUGUGAAGCUCAAUGUAAUACAUUGGGUAAAAAAACGGAACAACUGUUAACAAUGGAUAUCUUGGUUCUC
rnacentral:misc_RNA from 1 species